UACGGAGGGGGCGAGCGUUACCCGGAUUCACUGGGCGUAAAGGGGGCGUAGGUGGCCGUGUAAGUCCGGUGUGAAAACUCACGGCUCAACCGUGGGACUGCGCUGGAAACUACACGGCUUGAGGACGGUAGAGGGAGACGGAACUGCUGGUGUAGGGGUGAAAUCCGUAGAUAUCAGCAGGAACGCCGGUGGAGAAGUCGGUCUCCUGGGCCGUUCCUGACGCUGAGGCCCGAAAGCUAGGGGAGCAAACCGG
rnacentral:rRNA from 1 species